UCUCAGACCAACGGUUCAGUUCAAAUUUGGUCCGAAUUUGAACCAAACUGCUAAAAUUGGUCUGUGCAUACCCAUACCACAGAAAGCUACUUUUAAAACUGAGGAGAUUUUCAAACAUCUGUAAUACAGUUUUAAGCUGUCUACAUUGUCACUUCAGCCCCGUUGUUCUUCCAUAUACCAAGGGGCCAAUUUUGCAGUGCGUUGGAGAGGAUGCUUAGGAGCAAUCGUGUCUACUGCCCUGCAUCGCAGCAGGAGAGGAACAGCAACAAUAAUGAAGAAAAGACACAAGACAUACACAAAAAAUACCUUUUUUAAACUUUGCUCCAGCACGUCAGCAUGGAAAUAGAAAUAAGCAUUUUAAUUACAAAAAUUUAAAGGCCCUCACUUCUUCCUGGUGAACUUCUGCAAAAUAGCAAAUAUAUACAUAUACACACACAUAGAAAUAACCAUUAUUGUGUCUUCUGGCAGCUUUUAAUUUAAUUUUAUUUUUCUGGUCCCCCAGAAAGUGAAAUAUGUUCUUUCUGUAUUUUUUAAAUCUUUCUUAAGAGUACAUCAGUAGUUCAGCAAGAAUGUAAAUCAAUUUUAAAGGCAAAUAUGUAUAUAAUACUCAUUUAGCUUUUCUGUAGAAGUAUAUUAGUACUCUAGCAGGGAGGUUGGAAAUGGUUAAAGUACUUUUAGAAUUGUUUGUUUUUAAAAAAUACACGUUCCCAUUUCUAGGGAAGCCAAAAUCCCUCAGAGUGUAUAUUUAUAAAUAUUCCUGUAUGUAUUUGAUUUUGCCUUUCUGCAAGAAAACUCAAAUAUGGACUUUUUAAAAAACCGCUAAAAUGUUUUUAAAGACAUUGGCCACCAUUGCAACUAACACUGAACACACUGAAAAAUGUUUUGUGCAUGCAACAGGGGAGGGGCAACAUUUGCCAGUCUCCCCUUUCCUUUUGGAGCUCAUAGUCCAACCUCAAAAUAUCUCCCUGAAGGUCCUGCAACUUGCAGAAAUGUAUUUGUGAAAGGCACAGUGGGCGGCAGAGGGAAAGAGAGAUCAGGAAAAAUUGCCCCUCCCCCCUUACACAUUCACAUUUUAGCAGCCACUUUUCCUUGUACAAACCAGAUUCAGAGGUAUAGCUAGGGGAGAGGGGGCCCGUGUUCACCCCUCCCCCUGACAGCCCCUUGGAAUGAGGGAGAUAAUGGAGAAAAUAGGGAGGGGUGGUACUGAGGGGCCCUCAGGAGCUGGUGGGGCCCGGGUUCUUUGAACCCAUCCGCUCAAUUAUAGCUACACCCCUGCCCAGAUUUAGCUAAAUGUAAUGACUUUUUGUUUCCUUCCUGUCUGAAACCAUUCAUCAUUAUCCAUCAAUCAACCUUAUUUCAGUCAGCGACGCGCGUCAUCCAAAUGCAGCAAGUUACAAUACAAUAAAAGCAUGCAAUCAUUA